UGGGGAAUUUUGGACAAUGGGCGAAAGCCUGAUCCAGCAAUGCCGCGUGUGUGAAGAAGGCCUUCGGGUUGUAAAGCACUUUUGUCCGGAAAGAAAUCCUUGGCUCUAAUACAGUCGGGGGAUGACGGUACCGGAAGAAUAAGCACCGGCUAACUACGUGCCAGCAGCCGCGGUAAUACGUAGGGUGCAAGCGUUAAUCGGAAUUACUGGGCGUAAAGCGUGCGCAGGCGGUUUGCUAAGACCGAUGUGAAAUCCCCGGGCUCAACCUGGGAACUGCAUUGGUGACUGGCAGGCUAGAGUAUGGCAGAGGGGGGUAGAAUUCCACGUGUAGCAGUGAAAUGCGUAGAGAUGUGGAGGAAUACCAAUGGCGAAGGCAGCCCCCUGGGCCAAUACUGACGCUCAUGCACGAAAGCGUGGGGAGCAAACAGGAUUAGAUACCCUGGUAGUCCACGCCCUAAACGAUGUCAACUAGUUGUUGGGGAUUCAUUUCCUUAGUAACGUAGCUAACGCGUGAAGUUGACCGCCUGGGGAGUACGGUCGCAAGAUUAAAACUUAAAUGAAUUGACGGGGUCAUAGCUGUUUCCU
rnacentral:rRNA from 1 species